rnacentral:tRNA from 1 species
GCCCUUUUAGUCUAAUGGUUAGGACAUUUCUUAUCACGGCAAAAAUACGAGUUCAAUUCUCGUAAAGGGGA